rnacentral:tRNA from 1 species
GCGCCCGUAGCUCAGCGGACAGAGCAUCUGACUUCGGAUCAGAUGGUCGGGGGUUCGAAUCCCUCCGGGCGCGCCA